UUGGUUUUCUUCAGAGUUUCCUCGUAAAUUAUAGACAAUUGUUAGGCCUGGUGCCACAUGUGAUGUUUAAAAAGCUGUUCACUAGUUGAAUGGAACCCAUCUUUAGGCAUGCUUUUUACUGAAUAAAAUAUAUGUUUGAAUAAUAA